rnacentral:tRNA from 1 species
AGGGGAUUGGCGAAGCGGUCUAACGCACCAGGUUUUGAUCCUGGCAUUUCAUAGGUUCGAAUCCUAUAUCCCCUU